rnacentral:tRNA from 1 species
GCCCCGUUGGUCUAGUGGUUUAGGAUACCGGACUUUCAAUCCGUGUGAACGUCGGUUCGAAUCCGACACGGGGUA